UCUUUUAAUUGAAGGCUUGUAUGAAUGGUUGGACGAGAUAUUAGCUGUAUCAGUUUGAUUUUUAGAAUUUUAUUUUUUAGUCAAAAAGCUAAAAUUGUAUUAAAAGACGAGAAGACCCUAUAGAUCUUAAUAGUUUAUACAUUAUAUUUAUAAAGAAUAAUGAAGAUUUAAUGUAAAUAACUAUUUUAUUGGGGUGAUAAUAAGAUUUAAUGAACUCUUAUAUAUUUUUACACGAAUUAGUGAAUAUUUGAUCCACUAUUAGUGAUUAAUAAAUUAAGUUACCUUAGGGAUAACAGCGUAAUUUUUUUAGAGAGUUCAUAUCGAUAAAAAAGAUUGC
rnacentral:rRNA from 1 species